rnacentral:rRNA from 1 species
UACGAAGGGGCGAGCGUUGUUCGGAAUUACUGGGCGUAAAGGGCGCGCAGGCGGCCUUAGAAGUCAGAUGUGAAAGCCCCGGGCUCAACCUGGGAAUGGCAUUUGAUACUCUGAGGCUGGAGUACGGGAGAGGAGAGUGGAAUUCCCAGUGUAGAGGUGAAAUUCGUAGAUAUUGGGAAGAACACCGGUGGCGAAGGCGGCUCUCUGGACCGUAACUGACGCGUGAGG